rnacentral:rRNA from 1 species
UACGUAGGGGGCAAGCGUUGUCCGGAAUCAUUGGGCGUAAAGCGCGCGUAGGUGGCCCGGUAAGUCCGCUGUAAAAGUCCAGGGCUCAACCCUGGAAAGCCGGUGGAUACUGUCGGGCUCGAGUCCGGAAGAGGCGAGUGGAAUUCCUGGUGUAGCGGUGGAAUGCGCAGAUAUCAGGAGGAACACCGAUGGCGAAGGCAGCUCGCUGGGACGGUACUGACACUGAGGCGCGAAAGCGUGGGGAGCGAAC